GGAAAAGACAGAUGGCAGAGGAAAACUGGGGACUUAAACACAAUGAUACAAGUCCCUGGAUACCUGAAUCUGUGGAGGGAGUUUUGGUCUUUAUCUCUGGUUUUCCUGAUAAUAUGGAUUCUGAAGAUGGCUUUAUCCAGAUAGCGGCUCCUCAUGGUAUCCCCACUAACAUUGUUAUUGCAGCUGCUCAGAGAAAGGCUUUGGUGGAGCUUCCUGAUAAGGACUCUGCCAAAAAGAUGGUCAUGGCUUAUAAUGCAAUCCCAGUGGGUUUAAAACAACUAGACAUGAAACUCCUGCCCAAAACAGUGGAU
rnacentral:lncRNA from 1 species